rnacentral:lncRNA from 1 species
AAAUCCAAUGGCUCGCUACAUAUCUUUCUUCUCCUUCCACAUUGAGCCUACCCUCUAUUGCUUCAAAUCUCUGUUGGAGCAGACAUGCGGAUCUACAUCAUAAAUUGAUGCUCCUGGUGGAAUCCCUUUAGAUAGACUUCUUUCAGAUACCAAAACCAUCCAGCAUAGAUGCAAUCCGACCACGUUAUCUAAUCCGACCACGUUAUCUACUGGUGCCCUUUCUGACUGAGGUUAUCCUCAUUAACUCUGGAUCUUCUCUGCCGCUCGCAGAACCGGUGCCCGACUUGUAGAAUGAGAGCCCAAAUCGAGCCUUAUGCCUCUUCACCUCCUCCUGCUAUCACUGAUCAUCCAAGCUCCCCCGCAUGGCAGCCUGGAUUUGUUCCUCCUCAUCUAGACCCUCGACCUCCUCUGACUCCCUGAAGUGAUAGAAAGUGGCUCUGCCGCUUGGCUUUUCACCUUCGCCUUCUUCUUGGCAGCCCUCUCCUUGGCUUCUUUGAUGUUAGCGAGGUUCUUCCUCAUC